rnacentral:lncRNA from 1 species
GGCUGUCACUUCCAGUUUUCAAGCAAGGUUGGAAACCAGCCAUGAUGUAUGAAACACUGUUGACCAAAGUGCACAAUUAGUAAUACAAAAUGAAUAAUAUAAACUAUUGUAAAUAUGUGUGGACAUCGUGGCAAUUUGGACAUCAAAAAACACUGCCAAAUUCAGGAAGAGGAAGCUGUAAACUCAUGGCUGUUAGGAAGCUUAACUUCUGUGUACUAGAACCCAUCAAAAUUUCUCCAUGUCCAUCUGUCCGAACAAACAUUGAGAUGUUUAUUUCUAUAUAAUUCCUAUUGAAUCCUACUGGGCAGGACCCUUCUGGCCCCAUC